GACAGAGGAUGCAAGCGUUAUCCGGAAUGAUUGGGCGUAAAGCGUCUGUAGGUGGCUUUUCAAGUCCGCCGUCAAAUCCCAGGGCUCAACCCUGGACAGGCGGUGGAAACUACCAAGCUGGAGUACGGUAGGGGCAGAGGGAAUUUCCGGUGGAGCGGUGAAAUGCGUAGAGAUCAGGCGGAACACCUGGGGCGAAGGCGGCCAGCUGGGCCGUCCCUGACGCUGAGGCGCGAAGGCGUGGGGAGCGAACGGG
rnacentral:rRNA from 1 species